rnacentral:rRNA from 1 species
AGCGAACGCUGGCGGCAGGCUUAACACAUGCAAGUCGAACGCCCCGCAAGGGGAGUGGCAGACGGGUGAGUAAUGCGUGGGAAUCUACCGUACCCUACGGAAUAGCUCCGGGAAACUGGAAUUAAUACCGUAUACGCCCUACGGGGGAAAGAUUUAUCGGGGUAUGAUGAGCCCGCGUUGGAUUAGCUAGUUGGUGGGGUAAAGGCCUACCAAGGCGACGAUCCAUAGCUGGUCUGAGAGGAUGAUCAGCCACAUUGGGACUGAGACACGGCCCAAACUCCUACGGGAGGCAGCAGUGGGGAAUAUUGGACAAUGGGCGCAAGCCUGAUCCAGCCAUGCCGCGUGAGUGAUGAAGGUCUUAGGAUUGUAAAGCUCUUUCACCGAUGAAGAUAAUGACGGUAGUCGGAGAAGAAGCCCCGGCUAACUUCGUGCCAGCCGCCGUGGUAAAAC